rnacentral:misc_RNA from 1 species
UCCGAGUUGACCCCGGCAGUCUCCUAUGAGUCCCCGCCAUCACGCGCUGGCAACAUAGAACGAGGGUUGCGCUCGUUGCGGGACUUAACCCAACAUCUCACGACACGAGCUGACGACAACCAUGCACCACCUGUGAACCGACCGCAAGCGGGGCACCUGUUUCCAGGUAUUUCCGGUCCAUGUCAAGCCUGGGUAAGGUUCUUCGCGUUGCGUCGAAUUAAACCAUAUGCACUACCGCUUGUGCGGGCCUUCGUCAAUUCCUUUGAGUUUUAACCUUGCGGCCGUACUCCCCAGGCGGUCAACUUCACGCGUUAGCUUCGUUACCAAGGGAAUCAAUCCCCCGACAACCAGUUGACAUAGUUUAGGGCGUGGACUAC